GUAACGAUGAUGGUGGAGCGGGCGCUGCCGGUGCUGAAGAAGAAGAAAUUGAUCCUUUAGAUGCAUUCAUGGAGGGAAUUCACGAAGAAAUGAAAGCGCCGCCGCCGCCAAAACCGAAGGAGAAGGUGGAUAAGUAUAGGGACGACGAGGAGGAGGAUCCAAUGGAGAGCUUUCUGAGGGCCAAGAAGGACGUGGGACUGACGCUGGCAGCUGAUGCGCUUCAUGCUGGUUAUGAUUCUGAUGAGGAGGUUUAU
rnacentral:misc_RNA from 1 species